GGAGUGUGGUGGCACGAUCUCGGCUCACUACAGUCUCCACCUCCCAGGUUUAAGCUAUUCUCCUGCCUCAGCCUCCCUAGUAGCUGGGACUACAGGCGUGUGCCACCAUGCCCAGCUAAUUUUUGUAUUUUGAAUAGAGAUGGGGUUUCACCAUGUUGGCCAGGCUUGUCUUGAGCUCCUGACCUCACGUGAUGCGCCUGCCUCGGCCUCCCAAAGUGUUGGGAUUACAGGCUUGAGCCACCGCACUCAGCCGGAAUAUACCUCAUUCUUAAUGAAAUAAGCCACCUAAACUUUCUGCAUUCUUUUAGUGAAUUUCACAAAACUAUUUAUCUUAUUAUUACAUAUUAAUGGAAAGUUUAAAUUUUGCUUAACUAGAGUUUUCUGGAUUAAAAGUAUUGCUGACAUUCUUAUUUCUUUUCUAAUAGAAGUAAAAUAAGUGAACUUACAACUGAAGUUAAUAAACUUCAGAAGGGAAUAGAAAUGUACAAUCAAGAGAAUUCAGUAUAUUUGUCAUAUGAAAAGAGGGCUGAGACUUUAGCUGUUGAGAUAAAAGAGCUUCAAGGACAACUAGCAGACUACAACAUGUUGGUAGAUAAACUUAAUACCAACACUGA
rnacentral:sRNA from 1 species